AUGAAGAAAUUAACAUCUGCUUUAUUUACUAACCUUCCCAUCUACAUGGCUGAGCCAUCUUUGGUCACUGAAUACCAAGAAGACCAUUUUUUAUUGGUGUGUAAUAAGUCAUCCUUGGUGAUUCCUUGGUGUGGGUGUUCUGGGCUGCAGUUCUCUUUCAGCCACAUUUCUGUGAUUGCCAAGGCACCGUGGAACACUAAUACACUUAAUAGAAUGGCCUUUCUUCUGAAAAAAACAACCAAAACCAAUCAGUUGCACAUCCCCAGAAAGUGUAUGGCAGAGAGAGGUAUUGGAAUCACCCAGUAUUUAUGGACUGGGUCUCACAGUAAAAAUCAUUACAACUAACUGCAGUUCUCUAAGCUAUAAUAUAGAUUGUGCACAAUUGCUGCCUAUUUUCCUUCCUUCCUCCUUUUCCUGCUGUCUUUUCUUUGUUGCUUCUGCUGUUCAGCCUCCCCACAGUGCUCUGAUAUCUUGUGAUUAUGUACAUGGUGGGACAGAAGAGCUUGUGUGCCCCCUCUGAGUAAAAACAAGUCUGGCUCCACUUUGUUCUGCAAACCACACUGUAAAUGCAUACAUCUGAAAAAAAACUCCCAAAUAUCCAGGAACCACAGCCACUGGAAAGUAACCCGGCUUUCUUCCUCUUGGCUGCCUAACACUCCCCUCUGCCUGUCCUCUGAGAAUAGCAGCCACUUUCACAAACCUUCCCUCAGAAUCUGGAGGAAGACUGAAGGUCAAACUGUGGCUGAUUCUUGUACGGGAGGACAAGAAGGAUUUCUUGAACACUGUUAAAAAAUGGUGAGCAAAGCAAAUAUAGCCCAGCAAAAAGGCAAGAAUGCCAAAAUGCAGGAUUACAGGUAGGACUGGGAUGUCCAUGUCACAGGUUACUACAAAGAGCUAGGAGGAUCCAACUUCUGCCUUGGUAUGUUUAUGUCUACAUUAAGACAAAACACAACAUAUUGGUGAAAUGAAGGCAAGUGAAGAGAUAGUAACAUUUUGUAGAUUUUUAUUUCUCUCUCACGCCAGAACCACGGAAGAAUCAGGAUAAGAAAUAAUGAAAAUGCCACAGUGGUGUUGCGGAUGGAAUAACGAGGCCAUUCUAUCUGCCAAGCUGCAGUUCGGUUAUUGAGUUGAGAAACGCUCAUUCCCUUUCCUCAGCUUCCCAUCCCUGUACUUCGCACUGAAUUAAGAUUCCAGUGAUGGGAACAGCAGUGAUUUCUUGCACGUUUGUAAGAGAGUACCUUUGUGUACCUCCCAGCUGGCAUUUCAUCUGUUUCCUCUGAUGUAAUGGGUUAGCUCGUGGAGGAGAGCAGAAAGCAGCCGCUCCUGUGGAGACGCCAGACCCUCA
rnacentral:lncRNA from 1 species